rnacentral:rRNA from 1 species
CAGCUCGUGUCGUGAGAUGUUGGGUUAAGUCCGUAACGAGCGCACCUUGUCCUUAGUUACCAGCACGUUAUGUGGGCACUCUAAGGAGACUGCCGGUGACAAACCGGAGGAAGGUGGGGAUGACGUCAAGUCAGCAUGGCCUUUAUAUCCUGGGCUACACACACGCUACAAUGGGAAGGGACAAUAGGUUGCGAAGCCGCGAGGCGGAGCCAAUCCAGCAAAACUUCCCUCAGUUCAGAUUGCAGGCUGCAACUCGCCUGCAUGAAGUUGGAGUUGCUAGUAAACGCAGGUCAGCCAUACUGCGUUGAAUACGUUCCCGGGGCUU